GUGGGGAGCCUCUGGAUCCGGGAUACUCCCAGUCAAUGUCCAGGCCGUCAAACUGGUACUGUCUCAGGAACUUGAUAACGCUGCUGAUGAACGUCUGGCGGUUGGCUGCACUGGACACCAUUGCUGUGAACCUGGGUACACGCACACAGGAAACUUAAUAGAUUUGCAAGUUCUGGAAGUGAGAUGUUACCCCACUCUUCCAACAAGGCACCUGCAAGUUCCCGGACAUUUCUGGGGGGAGUGGCCCUAGCCCUCCCCCUCCAAUCCAACAGGUCCCAGACGUGCUGAAUGGGAUUGAGAUACGGGCUCUUCGCUGGUCAUAGCAGAAUACUGACAUUCCUGUCUUGUGUCGUGGAAAUUUCCUGUAUUACCAAAUCAUGAGAGAGCAAACCACACACAAAAGUCAGAGUUAUCAUAAAGUCCAUCUUUAAUUAUAUGAGCUUCACCAUAGCCCUGUGACUCUGAGAUCAAUUCAGUGUCUAUAAAUGAAUUCUCUGAGUGUCAACAUAAUGGCAACUGAGAUCCUUUAUAGCAAAGACACACCCAUCUAAACUCACAUGACAAAUAACAGAUCUUAGGAACAUUACACAAAGAAAGAUUUUACUUCAGAGAGGAGUAUACCAUAGCCAGACACCAUUGGCUAUAAAUUAUCGUUCAGUUUGCCCUUUUAGACAAAGUUCUUUUCUCGUUCUUGGUACCACUUAGGACCAAAACAUUACCUCAUCCAAUGGCAUACAGUGGGGCAAAAAGGUAUUUAGUCAGCCACCAAUUAUGCAAGUUCUCCCACUUAAAAAUAUGAGAGAGGCCUAUAAUUUUCAUCAUAGGUACACUUCAACUAUGACAGACAAAAUGAGAAAAAAAAUCCAGAAAAUCACAUUGUUAACCUAACCAGGAAAACUUUGGACACUAUAAGGUAUAAGGUAUGACUGAUUAAUCAGUUGUAAAAAGGUUUUAUGAGGGCUAUGAUGGGACCAAUUUUUCCUAAUCAGGUCACAUGUUUUUUGUUGAAAAUGAAACAAUGUCCUAUACUUGUGGGGAUGAAAACCCUGUCAAACUGCAGCAACCUUAUUCUUGUUCAUAUGAAUUAUAUUUAGACUAGAAUAGGAGGGUGGAUUUCCUCUACCCAGACACAGAGACAACAACAGAGAGACAAUAGAACUCACAGGGCUGAGCUUGAUUUAUGCAUGUUUGCAUCAUGCAGGCCUAUACAACUGCAGGCCUCAUAAAACAUUAACACAUAUGUCAUCACUAUUAUGUUGAUUGAUUAAAUCCAGUUCAUAAUUUUGGAUUGAAAACAUAUAGGCAGCCUAGCCAGCACACUUUUGAAUAUAAACCAAAUUUGAUCACAUUCACAUUUUCUCCUGACACACAAAUGGAAUAUAAAUACAUAACGUCACCAAUUAGUUACCCUGACCAAAUGGACAGCGCGCAUUGGAUGUAUGCAGCUGCUCUUAUGAGUAGCCUACAGUUGAUCAGACUGAAAAAUUGUCUCCUUUUCACCCCAUACCGCAUGUCAGAUCUCUAAUGUUUAGGUGUAGCCAAGGCUGCUGUAACGUUCAUGUAAUGAGUGCUUGCUUGUGUCUGUCUGUGAUUAUGUGUUAUAAUCUUUGCAAAAUAAAUAGUGGAGUGUGAAAAGCC